rnacentral:rRNA from 1 species
UAGGGAAUCUUCCGCAAUGGACGCAAGUCUGACGGAGCAACGCCGCGUGAGUGAAGAAGGAUUUCGGUUCGUAAAACUCUGUUGUUAGAGAAGAACAGCGCAUAGAGUAACUGUUAUGCGUGUGACGGUAUCUAACCAGAAAGCCACGGCUAACUAAGUGCCAGCAGCCGCGGUAAUACGUAGGUGGCAAGCGUUGUCCGGAUUUAUUGGGCGUAAAGCGAGCGCAGGCGGUCAAUUAAGUCUGAUGUUAAAGCCCCCGGCUCAACCGGGGAGGGUCAUUGGAAACUGGUUGACUUGAGUGCAGAAGAGGAGAGUGGAAUUCCAUGUGUAGCGGUGAAAUGCGUAGAUAUAUGGAGGAACACCAGUGGCGAAGGCGACUCUCGGGUCUGUAACUGACGCUGAGGCUCGAAAGCGUGGGUAGCAAACAGG